UACGGGGGGGGGCAAGCGUUGUUCGGAAUUACUGGGCGUAAAGGGCUCGUAGGUGGCUAACUAAGUCAGACGUGAAAUCCCCUCGGCUUAACCGGGGGAACUGCGUCUGAUACUGGAUGGCUAGAGUUUGGCAGAGGGGGGGUAGAAUUCCACGUGUAGCAGUGAAAUGCGUAGAUAUGUGGAGGAACACCGAUGGCGAAGGCAGCCCCCUGGGGUCAAGAUUGACGCUCGAUGCACGAAAGCGUGGGGAGCAAACAGG
rnacentral:rRNA from 1 species